rnacentral:lncRNA from 1 species
CCUCGGGCACACGAGGCCUCCACUGCGGUUGCGCGGCCGGUUUAAGAGCGUGCGGCUUCUACUGCGGUUGCGCAAACUCGCCGCGCGCACUCCUGUCUGCUUACGAGGGCAUCUCCCUCCAGCUUUGGUCCCUUGGGGCGUCUGGGCAGCCUACGCUUUCCG